GAUUAACGCUGGCGGCGUGCAUAACACAUGCAAGUCGAACGAUGAAACUCAUUAGAUUUCUUCGGAAUGAAAAUGAAUGGAUUAGUGGCGAACGGGUGAGUAACGCGUGAGUAACCUGCCUUACACAAGGGGAUAGCCUCUGGAAACGGAGAAUAAUACCCUAUGAAACCAGACAAUCGCAUGAUAAUCUGGUCAAAAUGUUUAGUGGUGUAAGAUGGACUUGCGUCUGAUUAGCUAGUUGGUGAGAUAAAAGCUCACCAAGGCAACGAUCAGUAGCCGGGUUGAGAGAGUGUACCGCCACAUUGGGACUGGGCCACGGCCCAGACUCCUACGGGAGGCAGCAGUGGGGAAUUUUGCACAAUGGGGGAAACCCUGAUGCAGCGACGCCGCGUGAUUUAGAAGGCCUUCGGGUUGUAAAAAUCUUUUGUAUAGGAAGAAAAUGACAGUACUAUACGAAUAAGGUCCGGCUAAUUACGUG
rnacentral:rRNA from 1 species